UUGUUGGUAAGGUAAAAGCUUACCAAGGCUUCGAUCAGUAGCUGGUCUGAGAGGACGACCAGCCACACUGGGACUGAGACACGGCCCAGACUCCUACGGGAGGCAGCAGUGGGGAAUUUUGGACAAUGGGGGCAACCCUGAUCCAGCCAUGCCGCGUGAGUGAAGAAGGCCUUCGGGUUGUAAAGCUCUUUCAGCCGGAACUAAACGGUUACGGAUAACACCCGUGACUACUGACGGUACCGGAAGAAGAAGCACCGGCUAACUACGUGCCAGCAGCCGCGGUAAUACGUAGGGUGCGAGCGUUAAUCGGAAUUACUGGGCGUAAAGCGUGCGCAGGUGGUUUUGUAAGUCAGAUGUGAAAGCCCCGGGCUCAACCUGGGAACUGCGUUUGAAACUACAAGACUAGAGUGUGGCAGAGGGGGGUGGAAUUCCGCGUGUAGCAGUGAAAUGCGUAGAGAUGUGGAGGAACACCGAUGGCGAAGGCAGCCCCCUGGGUCAACACUGACGCUCAGGCACGAAAGCAUGGGGAGCAAACAGGAUUAGAUACCCUGGUAGUCCAUGCCCUAAACGAUGUCAACUAGUUGUCGGGCCUUUACGGGCUUGGUAACGUAGCUAACGCGUGAAGUUGACCGCCUGGGGAGUACGAUCGCAAGAUUAAAACUCAAAUGAAUUGACGGGGACCCGCACAAGCGGUGGAUUAUGUGGAUUAAUUCGAUGCAGCGCGAAAAACCUUACCUACCCUUGACAUGUAUCGAAGCCCGCAGAAAAGCGGGGGUGCCCGAAAGGGAACGAUAACACAGGUGCUGCAUGGCUGUCGUCAGCUCGUGUCGUGAGAUGUUGGGUUAAGUCCCGCAACGAGCGCAACCCUUGUCAUUAAUUGCCAUCAUUUAGUUGGGCACUUUAAUGAGACUGCCGG
rnacentral:rRNA from 1 species